GUUUUUCUCUGAAUUAUCCAUUUAUAGAGUGAAGAUAUUUCUCUUACCUGGUUGGUAGUAUGGAAUGAAGUGUUUAGUAUCAAAAUCUCAUGGAAAACCUGCUAACGUGAUGCAUCUCAAUCUCAUAUAGGCUUGGUCCUGAUGGUGCCAUGUUGCCAACUGGUAGUCUCACGUAUCACAGCAGUUGUACUGAUUUUUGAAUUGAUUCUCACCUUCAUCCUUCUGAAGUAAAAGGGGGGAAAAAACUGAAAUAGGCUUUGUGUUUGGUCCUGUAUUCAAGGAUAAGUGGGAAAAAUGUAAUGCAACUAAAGAAAUGGUGCUAUUACAGCACUAUUAAUCACCAACCUCAGUACCCUAUUUAUCACACACACAACUUCUAUUUAUUACACAUAUAAGAGAGUAUGUAUCUUCUCUUGCCUUUAUAGC
rnacentral:misc_RNA from 1 species